AAAGUUAAAUCAGAUUCUCGUCUAGCGGCAACAACCACACAUGGGUUUGGAUUUGGUUCUGAUGUGUUUACUUUCUCCAGCCGUUUGAAAAGAGCACAUUUGGUCCUCUGGCAGUGGUGAGGACCAAUCAGAGAACCCCACUUAAAAGGGUUUGGUUAGACCUAAACAGUCCAAGUCCAGAUGAUUCUGCUUUAAGAACUGCACGUUGGACCUCCUCUUCCUCACCACAUGGAUUGUUCCGGAACAGCUAAAUCCAAAGAUGGCUUGUAAAAGGCCACAAAUAAUACUUUUAGUUCCUCUCCCAUAGAUUGGCGUAAUUUGUCUUGAAAUGUUUGUCUGAAGGAUGACUAAAUACAUACUAAAACUUCAAAAAUGAGACAUAGUUGAGUGUAAGUGAUCCUCUGGGACGGAUAAAAGCCUUCAUAUUUCAGGGCUGAGUCAUUGGGCAGCUCGACUCGUUUUAGAUGCCAAUUAAUAGCACCCAUUCACUUUCGUUCUGUAGUAAAGAGCAGCUUGGACUUCAUGCAAAAUAUAUGAUGGAUGCAAUCGAACACCACAAGGACAAACAGAGUCAGAGAGAGAAUUCGACAGAACCUUGACUCCGGACCCCUGGGAUGCCCUCCUGCUGAAGAUGUGAGACUGUGAGGUUAUUUUAAGAGACAUAUU